GAUCAUGGCUCAGGAUGAACGCUGGCGGCGUGCAUAACACAUUCAAGUCGAACGAAGUAAUGAGGUGCUUGCACCGAGUUACUUAGUGGCGGACGGGUGAGUAAUGCAUGAGCAACCUGCCUCGAAGAGUGGAAUAACACAUGGAAACGGUCGCUAAUACCGCAUAACAUAUCCACUUGGCAUCGAGAGGAUAUCAAAGGAGCAAUUCGCUGAAGGAUGGGGCUCGCGUCCGAUUAGCUAGUUGGUGAGGUAACGGCCCACCAAGGCGACGAUCGGUAGCCGAACUGAGAGGUUGAUCGGCCGCAUUGGGACUGAGACACGGCCCAGACUCCUACGGGAGGCAGCAGUGGGGGAUAUUGCACAAUGGGGGAAACCCUGAUGCAGCAACGCCGCGUGAGGGAAGAAGGUCUUCGGAUUGUAAACCUAAGUUGUCAGGGACGAACAAAUGACGGUACCUGAAGAGAAAGCUCCGGCUAACUACGUG
rnacentral:rRNA from 1 species